UACGUAGGGGGCAAGCGUUGUCCGGAAUGACUGGGCGUAAAGGGAGUGUAGGCGGCCUUUUAAGUUAUAUGUGAAAGCCCCCGGCUUAACCGAGGAACUGCAUAUAAAACUGGAGGGCUGGAGUGCAGGAGAGGUAAGCGGAAUUCCUAGUGUAGCGGUGAAAUGCGUAGAUAUUAGGAGGAACACCAGUGGCGAAGGCGGCCUGCUGGGCUUUUACUGACGCUGAGGCUCGAAAGUGUGGGGAGCAAACAGG
rnacentral:rRNA from 1 species